rnacentral:rRNA from 3 species
GACGAACGCUGGCGGCGUGCUUAACACAUGCAAGUCGAACGGAAAGGCCCUUCGGGGUACUCGAGUGGCGAACGGGUGAGUAACACGUGGGUGAUCUGCCCUGCACUCUGGGAUAAGCCUGGGAAACUGGGUCUAAUACCGGAUAGGACCACACACUUCAUGGUGAGUGGUGCAAAGCUUUUGCGGUGUGGGAUGAGCCCGCGGCCUAUCAGCUUGUUGGUGGGGUAAUGGCCCACCAAGGCGACGACGGGUAGCCGGCCUGAGAGGGUGACCGGCCACACUGGGACUGAGAUACGGCCCAGACUCCUACGGGAGGCAGCAGUGGGGAAUAUUGCACAAUGGGCGCAAGCCUGAUGCAGCGACGCCGCGUGAGGGAUGACGGCCUUCGGGUUGUAAACCUCUUUCAGUAGGGACGAAGCGAAAGUGACGGUACCUACAGAAGAAGGACCGGCCAACUACGUGCCAGCAGCCGCGGUAAUACGUAGGGUCCGAGCGUUGUCCGGAAUUACUGGGCGUAAAGAGCUCGUAGGUGGUUUGUCGCGUUGUUCGUGAAAACUCACAGCUUAACUGUGGGCGUGCGGGCGAUACGGGCAGACUAGAGUACUGCAGGGGAGACUGGAAUUCCUGGUGUAGCGGUGGAAUGCGCAGAUAUCAGGAGGAACACCGGUGGCGAAGGCGGGUCUCUGGGCAGUAACUGACGCUGAGGAGCGAAAGCGUGGGUAGCGAACAGGAUUAGAUACCCUGGUAGUCCACGCCGUAAACGGUGGGUACUAGGUGUGGGUUUCCUUCCUUGGGAUCCGUGCCGUAGCUAACGCAUUAAGUACCCCGCCUGGGGAGUACGGUCGCAAGACUAAAACUCAAAGGAAUUGACGGGGGCCCGCACAAGCGGCGGAGCAUGUGGAUUAAUUCGAUGCAACGCGAAGAACCUUACCUGGGUUUGACAUGCACAGGACGUACCUAGAGAUAGGUAUUCCCUUGUGGCCUGUGUGCAGGUGGUGCAUGGCUGUCGUCAGCUCGUGUCGUGAGAUGUUGGGUUAAGUCCCGCAACGAGCGCAACCCUUGUCCUAUGUUGCCAGCGGGUAAUGCCGGGGACUCGUAGGAGACUGCCGGGGUCAACUCGGAGGAAGGUGGGGAUGACGUCAAGUCAUCAUGCCCCUUAUGUCCAGGGCUUCACACAUGCUACAAUGGCCAGUACAGAGGGCUGCGAAGCCGCAAGGUGGAGCGAAUCCCUUAAAGCUGGUCUCAGUUCGGAUUGGGGUCUGCAACUCGACCCCAUGAAGUCGGAGUCGCUAGUAAUCGCAGAUCAGCAACGCUGCGGUGAAUACGUUCCCGGGCCUUGUACACACCGCCCGUCACGUCAUGAAAGUCGGUAACACCCGAAGCCAGUGGCCUAACCUUUUGGAGGGAGCUGUCGAAGGUGGGAUCGGCGAUUGGGACG